rnacentral:tRNA from 1 species
GCCGAGAUAGCUCAGUCGGUAGAGCAUUGGAUUGAAAAUCCAAGUGUCACCAGUUCAACUCUGGUUCUCGGCA